GGAUUAGAUACCCUGGUAGUCCACGCCGUAAACGAUGCACACUAGAUCGGAGUAGGUCUGACCCUUUUCCGGUCGAAGCGAAAGCGUUAAGUGUGCCGCCUGGGGAGUACGGUCGCAAGGCUAAAACUCAAAGGAAUUGACGGGGGCUCACACAAGCGGUGGAGCAUGUUGCUUAAUUCGAGGCAACGCGAAGAACCUUACCUGGGUUUGACAUGCACGGAUUAACUCUGUGAAAGCAGAGCCACGCCCGCAAGGGUGGAACGUGCACAGGUGCUGCAUGGCUGUCGUCAGCUCGUGCUG
rnacentral:rRNA from 1 species